UGAUGGCGUUUGGAGAAUUGGAAGAAGAAGACGAAGAAGAAGAAGAAACAAAAAA
rnacentral:sRNA from 1 species